rnacentral:lncRNA from 1 species
AAAUUAUUAGGUCCUAAAAAUGAUUAAGUUAUAUUGAUAACUAAGUCAUAGCCUCCCAUUAAGUGAGUGAUAAUGAGUCCAUUAGUUUAAUAAUCAUUGGAGGCCCAAAGGUCUGGUGCUUAUUGACUAAUGAAAUUAUCAUUCAUAAUAUGAUAAUUUAGUUUGAGUCUUUCUGAUGGUGGUCAGGUUGGUCGGCCAAAGUCGGGCCUGAUCAUUUAUUGAUCCAAUUCAUCAAAUCAAAUCAUGUUAAUGGUUGGACCUAACCAGAUCUUUUCAGUGGAGGCCAAAGCCUACUGAUUAGGUUCUGGGGCAAAAUCAAUUACUAGAAGUUAUUUAGAGAAAUGACUGGUUAUGAACCUACCCAU